rnacentral:rRNA from 1 species
AGAAUCAACGCUGGCGGCGUGCCUAACACAUGCAAGUCGAACGAGAAAGUGGAGCAAUCCAUGAGUAAAGUGGCACACGGGUGAGUAACACGUGACUAACCUACCUUUUAGUGGGGGAUAACCUAGGGAAACCUGGGCUAAUACCGCAUAAUACCUACGGGUCAAAGCAGCAAUGCGCUGGAAGAGGGGGUCGCGGCCGAUUAGCUAGUUGGCGGGGUAAUGGCCCACCAAGGCAGUGAUCGGUAUCCGGCCUGAGAGGGCGCACGGACACACUGGAACUGAAACACGGUCCAGACUCCUACGGGAGGCAGCAGUGGGAAUUUUGCGCAAUGGGGGAAACCCUGACGCAGCAACGCCGCGUGGAGGAUGAAGACCCUUGGGUCGUAAACUCCUUUCGAUCGGGACGAUAAUGACGGUACCGGAAGAAGAAGCCCGGCUAACUUCGUGCCAGCAGCCGC